CUUUGUGCGUCCGGCUGUGUGUGGAUACUGGGAAUUGGACCUGGGCCAACAGGCGUUGCAGGUCUUGUAUAGGUAGUGUCGGCCACUGUGAGGCUAUGAACAUUCGAGGCCACCCCGUCUGGAGGACACCACCGUAAGCGGCCCCUCUUCCUUCGGCAGCUGUGACACUCCCUCCACCACUUCUGCCACAGCGCUCCCUGAGCCUUGGAGGGUACGAUACUGAUGUCUCAGUGCCAAACACUCCGCUGUCACUUCUUUUCAGCCCUAUGGGUGGGCAGCCAGUCCAAUCAGAGAGCAGCUGGUUUCUCCCAUGACAGACAUGCCACUGUGACACCAGUUGGUUCAUUCGGCCUGCCUGGCCAGUUGUGCAGCUUGUGGGUCCUGACUUGAUGGGUUCCUCCAGAAGGCUGCAGGCUGCACAACUUCCCCCAGCAUCCCGGCAGCCAGUCCACAGGGAGGAGGCCUCCAGCUCAGCUCCAGCUUGAUUUCUCAGCGACCGGCAGCCCCAGCGUGUGGAGUCUUCAGCAGUAAGGUCUUACCGUCUAGGUGCAGUGGGCAACCAAGGACCUUCUUUCAUCUCCUUUUACUUCUCCCUAGAUGCUUGCUUCAUGUGAGAGAAAACCUGUAAUACUUACCUUUGUGAGGCCGGCUAAUUUCACUUCAGUUCCACCCAUUUUCCUGCAGGUGACAUAAUUUUAUCCUCCCUUAUGGCUGAAUAAAACUUCAUUCUGUAUUCAUGGCACACUUACAUCACCCGCUCACCUACUGAGGGACAUCUAGGCUGAUUCCACAACUUGGCAGUUGUGAAUGGUACCACAGUAAACAAGGACGACGAGGUGCUCGUAGCUGUUCUCUCUUGAUUCUUUCCUGUGUGUGCCCAGAACUGGUACCGCUGGGUCACACAGCAGCUCUUUCAGUUUAUUGAGGGAUCUCGAUGCUGAUUUCCACAGUGGCCAGACUAACUCGCAUUUCCACCAGCAGUGA